rnacentral:lncRNA from 1 species
UCUUUCACAAAACAACCUCAAAGGAGUCAUACCCUUAGACAUUUUCAACAUUUCAUCAUUAUCAAACACACUAGAUUUGUCACAUAAUUCACUGAGUGGUAGCUUACCAAAAGAAGUGGGUAUGCUAAAAAAUAUUGAUUGGUUAGAUGUCUCUGAGAAUCAUUUGUCGGGUGANNNNNNNNNNNNNNNNNNNNNNNNNNNNNNNNNNNNNNNNNNNNNNNNNNNNNNNNNNNNNNNNNNNNNNNNNNNNNNNNNNNNNNNNNNNNNNNNNNNUUGAUAUAUAUUUAUAUUAGAUAUAUUAAUUAUACAAUGAUUUUUAAAAAAGUUAAUUUUACUUGUAAUUUAUCUUAGAGAGAAUAUCUAUAAAAUUCUUCAAAUUCCAUAAACACUUUUGACAAUUCUGAGAUGAAGAAAAAAAGAAAAAAGGGGAUAUAUCUUAAUGAUUUUUCUGACAGAAGGGCCAAUAUCAACACCCAACCACAAUGACUGCAUUAAAUAAUUUAUCUUUUUAAAAUCAAAACAACUAAUAAAAUUUUAUUACUUUUAAUAUAAUUAUUUUUCUUUUUCAUUAAAACGCUUAAUUGUUUAUUAUUAUAUUAUAUUUAUAUUUUUCUACAAUAAAUACUAAUAGACAUUAUUGACAAUACAAAUAAUAUAUUUUAUUACUUUUAAUAAUUAUUCAUAAAAUAGCCUUACUUAUUUUUUUUUCAUUUUAUUUAUUUUUCUUUCUACAAUAAAUAAUAAUAGACAUUACUAACAAUAGAUAUAAAUUUAAAAUUGACAAAAAAUAGAAAAAAAAAUUAUAUAAAAAUGCUAAAAUUAUAAAGCACGUAAAAAAUAUUUAUUAGUACAACGAUUACCAAAUUCCAUUAUGAUGAGACCUUGUUUUCCACCCAAAGGACAAACAAGAUUACUACCACCCAACCACCGCAUUGAAGCAUUGGUUUAUGGGUCAUGGGAGCGGUCGGGGAUGAUCUACAUUGGGUUCAAGAAUAACAAUACAAGUGAGUUGGGACAAUUUUUUUUCUACCCAAACAAUUAUCACUUUACCUCAACAAAUUGAAUUGAAAUAACAAAUCUACCCUCAUAUAUAAGGUAACACUGAAAAAAAAAUUCAUUUUCUACACUACUCAAAGAAAGUAUGUCGGUGUGAGUUAGGGGAAAAAGAGAGAGUAAGCGAAAAACUUCAUAUCGAUACACUUUGAACACUUUUGAAAAAGUGUUCCGGUAUGUAAUACAAUUGAUUCUGCAUAUGAUUUGAACCGGAACACUUUUUAAAAGUAUUUCGGUAAACAUCGAUAGUUUUUUCAAACCGGAAUAUUUUGAGAAAAAUAUUCCGGUAAAAUUAACAUACCGGAAAAGAUAAAAGUUUACCGGAACAGUUUUUCGGGGAUGUGAUCAGUCUACCGGAAGAGUUAUAAAAUGACAAAAUAAAAAAUAUUAAAAUAUACUGAAAUUUGAUAAGGGUAUAAUGGGCAUUUUGAAAAAUAUGUUGGGGUAGAAAAAAAUAUUUCCGUGAAUUGUAUACCACACUCUUACUCAAAACCUUAAGAUGUUAGGUUUAUGAGUUCUCUCAUUUAUAAAGUGUUUAACCUCUACUUUCUCUACUUUUUUUAAAGCAAUGUAGAACUUAACUGCCACAACAACUACAUGCAUCUAGUAUUUAAAUCCAUCCAUACCGAAAGAGAGGAAAGGAACAUGCUUCUCAACCAAAUGAAACCUUAUAUUUUCUUAUUACCCAUGUCUUGGUACGCAUACCUUCAUUUGCUUGAUCUUAUUACCUUAACCUUAAUGUGUUUUGGUCCAAACAGAACUUUGACAAUGGAACUAGGAAACCAAACCGAUCAUUUGGCUUUGCUUCAAUUCAAGCAACUAAUAUCUAAUGAUCCAUAUGGCAUCCUAGAUUCUUGGAAUAGUUCAACCCACUUUUGCAACUGGCAAGGAAUCAUAUGCAAUGCCAAGCAUCAAAGAGUUACGAAGUUGAAGUUGGAAGGAUACAAGUUGCAUGGAUCCAUAUCUCCAUAUGUUGGCAAUCUCUCUCAUAUGAGAUUCCUUAACCUUAGAAACAACAAAUUCUACGGAAACAUUCCACAAGAAUUGGGCCGUUUGUCACGAUUACGGUAUUUCCUUCUACUCAACAACUUAUUGGCAGGGGAAUUUCCUAUAAACUUGACAAAGUGCUAUGAGCUCAAAACCAUAGACUUACAAGGAAACAAUUUGAUUGGCAAAAUACCUAGUCAAAUUGGUUCUCUUCAAAAGCUUCAAGUUUUCUAUAUCGGAAGAAACAAUUUAUCUGGAAAAAUCCCACCAUCCAUAAGUAAUCUAUCAUCCAUUGUUAUUUUUUCGAUGGGUGAAAAUGACUUGGUGGGAAAUAUUCCGCGAGAAAUGUGUUUCCUAAAACAGUUGAAGUUAAUAGCAGUGCAUGUCAAUAAAUUGUCGGGUACAUUUCCUUCUUGUCUUUAUAAUAUGUCAUCUCUUAUUAUGAUCUCAGCUGCAUACAAUAAUGUUAAUGGAACUCUUCCACCCAAUAUGUUUCACACUCUUCCCAAUCUCCAAAUGUUUUUAAUCGGAGAAAAUAAUUUCUCAGGUCAUAUACCCACUUCCAUUGCAAAUGCUUCUACUUUGACAAAAUUUGAUAUUGUCAAAAACCAUUUUCUCGGACAACUUUCAAAUCUAGGUAAGCUACAAAGUGUGAGGGUGCUAAGUUUGGGUUACAACAAUUUAGGAGACAAUUCCACAAAGGAUUUGGAGUUUUUAAACUCAUUGACAAAUUGUAGUAAGUUGCAAAUGCUCCAAUUGUCAAAUAAUAAUUUUGGAGGUAGUUUGCAAAAUUCUAUAGGUAAUUUGUCCACCACACUUGAUCAAUUACAUUUCGGGGUUAAUCAAAUAUAUGGACAAAUUCCUAUAGAAUUAGGAAAUCUAAUUAACUUGAGUCUCUUGACAUUGGACUAUAAUAAAUUCCAAGGAACAAUUCCAACUACUUUUGGAAAAUUUCGAAAGAUACAAAUAUUAGAAUUGUACGGAAACAAUUUAUCAGGGGUUAUACCAUCUUUCAUAGGCAACCUUAGUCAAGUUUAUGCUUUGGGACUAGAUGAAAAUAUGUUUGAAGGUAAUAUUCCUCCAAAUAUUGGAAAUUGUCAAAAGUUACAAUACUUAACUCUUUCACAAAACAACCUCAUAGGAGUCAUACCCUUAGAGAUUUUUAACAUUUCAUCAUUAUCAAACACACUAGACUUGUCACAUAACUCAUUGAGUGGUAGCUUACCAAAAGAAGUGGGUAUGCUAAAAAAUAUUGAUUGGUUAGAUGUCUCUGAGAAUCAUUUGUCGGGUGACAUUCCUGGAACCAUUGGUGAAUGCAUAAGUUUAGAAUAUCUUAAUUUGNN